UCCGUCCCGGCCCCCGUACCCGGUGCGGCGGCCUCUCGGGUCCGGAGGAGCAGGCCGAGGUCCCCGGAGGCCCGGGUUCCCCCUCGCGAGCGCCGGCGGCGACGGAACCAAGACUUCCGGGAGUUCCGGGCCGCCGGCGCCGGCGACGCGAGCGCAGGGGGCGCGGGCGUGGGGGCGCGGGGAGCGGCGGCGUCCCUGGGAAACGGCGCCGGCUGGAAACGCGCGCUCGGCCACAAAGGUUCCGCCGCCCUACUGCCCGCCUUUGCCCAGAGCCCUGCGGGGGGGGGGGGGGGGGGAGGAAGGGAGACACGGAGGGCCGGAGUGGGGGGCGUGAAAAGCACAGAAGCCCGCCCCCUACCCCCCUCCCAUCCCCGACAGGCACCGCCGGGUCGCUGUGACAGGGAUUGAUUGGUUGGCGGGAUGUUACCUCACUCCUGGCUGCUGUGAGGACCUCUCUGAGGUUCUUAUCAGCAACGGAAACCUGAGGACUCUGAAGCUUGGGGACAACAAAAUACAAGAUGCGGGUGUCAGACAGUUAUGUGGGGCGUUGAGGCACCCUAACUGUAAACUGGAGAAUCUCGGGCUGGAGCUGUGUGAGCUCACCGCUGCCUGCUGCGAGGACCUGGCCUCGGCCCUCACCGUCUGCAAGUCCCUUGGGGGCCUCAACCUGGAAUGGAACAGCCUGGACCGAGAUGGCAUGGCAGCGCUGUGUGAAGCCCUGGGCCACCAGGACUGUGCCCUGCAGCUGCUCGGAUGUGGAAGCAUGGACCUGUGGACUGAAGGGUCCCAGGUUCGAUUCCGGUCAAGGCCAUGUACCUUGAUUGCGGGCACA